AGCCCCGGGGGGAAGCAUCUCAAAAUGCAAAUUUGAGGAAGCACCCUAAAAGGUGCCGGGGCUU
rnacentral:tRNA from 1 species